AAGCCGCACUAGUUGAUGCUCAGCCGUGGCCCGCCGCCCCAUUCUUCGGGAAGAGGACUUUGAUUUCCAGUCACGGACUGGAACCCGGGGCGGCCUCCUCGGGAGUGGGGAGAGCUUUCCUCGCUGCUCUUCACUCCAGGUUCCCAGUCUCUUCCUUCCGCUCUUCCUGGAUGGGGUACAGCGUUCUUCCGGUCUCCGGAGCCCCUGAACAAUUGUUUCGGACAGUUCCUGACUGAUUCCUAGCUGAGCUUGAGGACGAGCUGAAUCUUGAAGCUCCCGACUCCGCCAUCUUACCCGGAAACUCCCGCCUUUCGAAAAAGAUCUUCUGAUCUGAAUGUACCUGGCCUGAUAUGAGUGCCUAAUGCUCCCCUAGAGCCUUCCACUUUGUAGAAUCUACUUGCAAGUUGCUGCCAUUUGAAGAGAGCAGUUGAAUGGAAAGUCAUGAUGCAAUUCAAAGAUGGUGAUCUGAAACAGUUAACCGUGAGAAUGCUCUUCACUUUACUUAUUUGUAACUGAUCACUGUUGCAGAUGAAGAAGCAACAUUUAUGAAUCACUGCUUCUAUUUCCCAAUUUUGAGACUGGCUUCUCCUUAGAUGAUACCCCUGAUUUCAUGUUAAGAUCCCUCGUGCCAGAUGGAAGCUCACAUUUGCAGGUGUGUAUUUGAUUUGUGCCUGUAAAAGUCAAAUAGAGUGCUCAAUUUAAUAAUGACUGGGACCUAUGGAGACCAAUGAACUCUAUUUUUAAUGUAAUGGAACCAACACAAAAACUGUUUGAAGAAUGCGUCUGUCUUGCCCAAUUUCAAAUACCCAUGAGCACUCGCUUAUUCAAAGUGGUUGCCUCUUUGGGGGUAGCACUGCUAAUGAGACAGUUCCUGCUCUCGAGUAUUAUGUAAUCAAGCAGGGAGGAGUCAUUCAACAAUGACAGAAUAUGGAGGAGAUGACUGGAACUUGUGAGUUGAAAUUCAGAGGCUGCAGAGCAACAAGACGGAUGAAGCCUGGGCUCCUUAUGAUUGGGAAGUAGGUGCUACAUAAAGUUUGGAAGAGGUGGAGAGGAGUACAUUUUGCGCGAGCCACACGACUGAGCCUGGGUUGCUCGGGUAAAACCCAUCAGAAAAAUGGGAACACAGUCGUCAGGACAAGUCAGAUUCUGGUGAAGAAAGAAAGCAAUGAAAACUGUAUUUAGACACAUAUUUAGAAUAUGUGAAUGAGGCUGGUGCGGUACAAAUAACAACAAUGAAAAGGUGGAGGAGCUGUUCAGGAGAAAGACGCAUUUGGUUUGUGGGAGAAAACCAAAAAAAGGAGUUCACUUUAAAUUUCUGCCAGGACAUCCAGUAGAUAUCCAGUUAGAAACAGGGAAUUAGUGCUCGAGAAAGAGUCCAGGACUGGUCACUAUUGAUUCCAGAAUCUCUCUCACGGAGGGACCAUUGGGGCCAUGCCAUUACCAUGGCUACAGAAACAACAAUCGGAUGACCUUUUUUUUAAUAAUAGAAUUGACCCAGGAGAAGUAGAUCUUUCUAAAUCAGAGGCAAUGGAAAUUUGAAUUGGGUGAAUUUUUUAAAUUGAAGAGGAUUCACAACUUAGAUUGCAAAAAAUGGGAAUCACUGUAAGUUACUUUGUUUUGGCUGUGAAGCCCAUGUUGGAACUUAUGGCCGAGAAGACAUAUAGAAUGCUCUAGAAUGAAAUGCUAUAGGAAAAAAAAAAAAGAUUGGAGUUAAGUUUUUCAAACCAAAGUAGAGGAAGGCAGGAGUUUAAAAUUUAAGCUAAAUUGGGUCAGGUGGCACUUAUGUCAUUGUCAACGGAUGAUACCAAAAUUCCUGCUCAGGACUGGAAAAGGGUGAAAUCCAGAGAAGACAGUCUAUGGCAGAGGGGAAGGUCCUGUGUAAUAGGAUAUACUUUUCAAGGGUGAUGUUAGAACCUGCUUUGUCAUUGAGGCGUGCAUAGGAAUGUUUCCACUAUUUAGGUGAUGGCAUCGUGUCUUUGCCUUCGAUUUACUCUGGUUUAUGGGGGAACCCCUCCUGCUGGAGUACCCCACCAGAGUCCAGAUUUAAUUCAUCCAUCCAUCAAUUAAUAAAUUAAAAAUUUAUUAAUUAAUUCCCUCCAUCCAUGCUUUCUUCAUUCCUUCUUUUAUUCAACAUUGAUUGAGUUUCUGCAAAGUGCUACAUACUACUCAAGGCAUUGUGAUGGCACGAAUAUGAAAAAAAAAUGAAUCUUGCUCACAAUCUGCUGUGGGAGACAGAUGAGAGUACACAUAAUCACUUGAUAAACAAUGAACUAAGUACUCUAUAGGAGUAUAUCUCCAAACCUUUGGGGCUAUUUAGGAGAGAGUAUUUGGAGAAGGUUUUGUAUAAAAGGUAAUUUUUUAACCUUGGCUAAAAGGAUGAGUAGGAGUUUAUGAAGUCCAGAAGGUGAGGCAAGGCCUGUGAAAAAAAAAAAAAAAAAAAAAAAAAAAAAAAAAAAAA